GAAAAGCCCGCUCGCCGGAAGACCAAGGGUUCCUGUCCAACGUUAAUCGGGGCAGGGUGAGUCGACCCCUAAGGCGAGGCCGAAAGGCGUAGUCGAUGGGAAACAGGUUAAUAUUCCUGUACUUGGUGUUACUGCGAAGGGGGGACGGAGAAGGCUAUGUUGGCCGGGCGACGGUUGUCCCGGUUUAAGCGUGUAGGCUGGUUUUCCAGGCAAAUCCGGAAAAUCAAGGCCGAGGCGUGAUGACGAGGCACUACGGUGCUGAAGCAACAAAUGCCCUGCUUCCAGGAAAAGCCUCUAAGCAUCAGGUAACAUCAAAUCGUACCCCAAACCGACACAGGUGGUCAGGUAGAGAAUACCAAGGCGCUUGAGAGAACUCGGGUGAAGGAACUAGGCAAAAUGGUGCCGUAACUUCGGGAGAAGGCACGCUGAUACGUAGGUGAAGCGACUUGCUCGUGGAGCUGAAAUCAGUCGAAGAUACCAGCUGGCUGCAACUGUUUAUUAAAAACACAGCACUGUGCAAACACGAAAGUGGACGUAUACGGUGUGACGCCUGCCCGGUGCCGGAAGGUUAAUUGAUGGGGUUAGCGCAAGCGAAGCUCUUGAUCGAAGCCCCGGUAAACGGCGGCCGUAACUAUAACGGUCCUAAGGUAGCGAAAUUCCUUGUCGGGUAAGUUCCGACCUGCACGAAUGGCGUAAUGAUGGCCAGGCUGUCUCCACCCGAGACUCAGUGAAAUUGAACUCGCUGUGAAGAUGCAGUGUACCCGCGGCAAGACGGAAAGACCCCGUGAACCUUUACUAUAGCUUGACACUGAACAUUGAGCCUUGAUGUGUAGGAUAGGUGGGAGGCUUUGAAGUGUGGACGCCAGUCUGCAUGGAGCCGACCUUGAAAUACCACCCUUUAAUGUUUGAUGUUCUAACGUGGACCCGUGAUCCGGGUUGCGGACAGUGUCUGGUGGGUAGUUUGACUGGGGCGGUCUCCUCCUAAAGAGUAACGGAGGAGCACGAAGGUUGGCUAAUCCUGGUCGGACAUCAGGAGGUUAGUGCAAUGGCAUAAGCCAGCUUGACUGCGAGCGUGACGGCGCGAGCAGGUGCGAAAGCAGGUCAUAGUGAUCCGGUGGUUCUGAAUGGAAGGGCCAUCGCUCAACGGAUAAAAGGUACUCCGGGGAUAACAGGCUGAUACCGCCCAAGAGUUCAUAUCGACGGCGGUGUUUGGCACCUCGAUGUCGGCUCAUCACAUCCUGGGGCUGAAGUAGGUCCCAAGGGUAUGGCUGUUCGCCAUUUAAAGUGGUACGCGAGCUGGGUUUAGAACGUCGUGAGACAGUUCGGUCCCUAUCUGCCGUGGGCGCUGGAGAACUGAGGGGGGCUGCUCCUAGUACGAGAGGACCGGAGUGGACGCAUCACUGGUGUUCGGGUUGUCAUGCCAAUGGCACUGCCCGGUAGCUAAAUGCGGAAGAGAUAAGUGCUGAAAGCAUCUAAGCACGAAACUUGCCCCGAGAUGAGUUCUCCCUGACCCUUUAAGGGUCCUGAAGGAACGUUGAAGACGACGACGUUGAUAGGCCGGGUGUGUAAGCGCAGCGAUGCGUUGAGCUAACCGGUACUAAUGAACCGUGAGGCUUAACCUUACAACGCCGAAG
rnacentral:rRNA from 1 species